GAUGAAGAACGUAGCGAAAUGCGAUAAGUAAUGUGAAUUGCAGAAUUCAGUGAAUCAUCGAAUCUUUGAACGCACCUUGCGCCUUUUGGUAUUCCGAAAGGCACACCUGUUUGAGCGUCAUGAAUACCUCAAUCUCCAUCUUUUCUUCGGAUUGAUGGGUGACAUGGAUGUUGAGCCCUGCUGGUAUGCUAUAUCAGCUGGCUUUAAACUUAUUAGCCGGCUCUGUACUGGAUCGGUUUGACUCGACGUGAUAAUAUUAUCGUUGAGGAUGCAUGUCUCAUGCAGCCGGAAAGUAUCAAAGCAGCUUCUAGCUUGCCUUUAGUGCACUUUUACAUUUUAGACCUCAGAUCAGGUGGGACUACCCGCUGAACUUAAGCAUAUCAAUAAGCGGAGGA
rnacentral:misc_RNA from 1 species